rnacentral:lncRNA from 1 species
GGCCGAUGUCUUCGAUCUAGGUAACCGCUAACGAAUGCCCACCAGCUAGGGCCCCAGUCCCGACCCACCAUUCACAGCUGCCGCCUCCUCUCCUCCUCGAGUCACAUUCUUCGGGCCCAACUCGCUGCCUUUCCCCUCCACCAGACAGGUAGUCACCAGAUCAUGGAAGUGCCCACAGCGUAGGCACAUCUCGUCGAGAUUCUUGAAGAUGAAUCUCUGCUAGAAAGACCCCUCCGCCCCCUCGAUCAACACCCCCGAUCGCAGCAGUCAGGAGAGGUCGAUCCGGAUGCUGGCCCGUGUGAAGCCCAGUCAUCGCCGCUCUGCCGUCCACUCAUCCAUUGCCUCC